rnacentral:rRNA from 1 species
GAUGAACGCUGGCGGCGUGCCUAAUACAUGCAAGUCGAGCGAACGGACGAGAAGCUUGCUUCUCUGAUGCUAGCGGCGGACGGGUGAGUAACACGUGGAUAACCUACCUAUAAGACUGGGAUAACUUCGGGAAACCGGAGCUAAUACCGGAUAAUAUUUUGAACCGCAUGGUUCAAAAGUGAAAGACGGUCUUGCUGUCACUUAUAGAUGGAUCCGCGCUGCAUUAGCUAGUUGGUAAGGUAACGGCUUACCAAGGCAACGAUGCAUAGCCGACCUGAGAGGGUGAUCGGCCACACUGGAACUGAGACACGGUCCAGACUCCCACGGGAGGCAGCAGUAGGGAAUCUUCCGCAAUGGGCGAAAGCCUGACGGAGCAACGCCGCGUGAGUGAUGAAGGUCUUCGGAUCGUAAAACUCUGUUAUUAGGGAAGAACAUAUGUGUAAGUAACUGUGCACAUCUUGACGGUACCUAAUCAGAAAGCCACGGCUAACUACGUG